UUACACGAAAACAACGAAAGCCCUGCCUCUCAAUCAUUCUUGCGGCUCCUAUGGCCGCGCCAGUGAGAAUUCGUGUUCCUUCCAGCAG
rnacentral:sRNA from 1 species